AUUGAACGCUGGCGGCAUGCCUUACACAUGCAAGUCGAACGGCAGCACGGGUGCUUGCACCUGGUGGCGAGUGGCGAACGGGUGAGUAAUACAUCGGAACAUGUCCUGUAGUGGGGGAUAGCCCGGCGAAAGCCGGAUUAAUACCGCAUACGAUCUACGGAUGAAAGCGGGGGACCUUCGGGCCUCGCGCUAUAGGGUUGGCCGAUGGCUGAUUAGCUAGUUGGUGGGGUAAAGGCCUACCAAGGCGACGAUCAGUAGCUGGUCUGAGAGGACGACCAGCCACACUGGGACUGAGACACGGCCCAGACUCCUACGGGAGGCAGAAGUGGGGAAUUUUGGACAAUGGGCGAAAGCCUGAUCCAGCAAUGCCGCGUGUGUGAAGAAGGCCUUCGGGUUGUAAAGCACUUUUGUCCGGAAAGAAAUCCUUGGCCCUAAUACGGUCGGGGGAUGACGGUACCGGAAGAAUAAGCACCGGCUAACUACGUG
rnacentral:rRNA from 1 species